UUCCGAAUUAGUUCGUGGCACGCGUCGCAACCGAGCUUCGUCCUCUCGUUAAUUAGAAUUAUUAGUUAAUUAGAAUAUUUUAUCUAACGUUCACUCAGAUUUUAUACAGCGAUGAAUACCAAAAAUGCGAUUUCCGCGAGUGAAUUUAUUAAUAACGAUCACGCUCAAUUGCGAAAUAUAACUUAUUCUACUGCGUUCCUUAACCUAACAUAAUCAUCUAAGCCAUCGUUUUUUCGAUUAUAGAAUGGAAGAGGUACGAUGUCCGGAUUAUCAAUUUUACUUACGUACAAUAAGAAGUGAUAUUCGAUACAGGACGACGAGUGGGCGUAGAUUCUGUGAAUUUGUUCGUGAGCGUUAACGAUACAGUGUGCCCUGUGUUCCUAGAAAGAAGCAAGAUGGAUUCGGCUAGAGUUCAACAGAGUAGACGUCUUCCGUUUAAGUUUAUACAUUCAUUCUUCGAUUAAGCAGUGUUCUUUCAGCGAAACUUCUUUUAGUAAUUUGCCGUCAGAGUAUAUUUUUUGUUCGAUUGUACAUUUUUUGGGAAGUGCGUUUUAUAUACGUGGAAUAGUUGAUAAUUCAGAGUUCAUUCAAAUUGAAUAACGUUGAUGUAACAUUGUUUCUUUAAUUUUACAUUAGUGGAUUUUAUAUGGAUUCUUUCAACCUUCAUCGUCGUCAUGUGAUUAAUAAUCGACAUCAUCAGGAUAGGGAGGAGUUUUGCACGGUCGUCACCGCGCAGUUGAAUCUUUCUAGACGCAACCCACUUUUUAUCGAGCACGUGUUUAUGGUCGAGAUUUGUCUCGUACCAUUUUCUGUGCAUUUACGCUGGUUGCUCUGCCCUCGUCCAGCAUUAUAAAAUAACCGAGGACAUUCUACUCUCCUCCUUAUUUUUUAGACCUGCUUCAGAUGUCGUUAAUUGAUCUCACGUCGAGGACGAUCGAUGGGAAAAUCUAUGUACGCGAACGCGCUUAAUCUACAUUAUUUUAACGAGUCGUCUCGUCCGUCUUGGAAUAUCACUGCGAAAUAAAAAUUGUAGACUUUUCGUCGAUAGUACAUGACAGAACGAAUACUGCUUAAAUCACGGAGUGGAUGUAUCAUUCGACGGAUCGUUUCCUGAUUGCUGUAAUGCGGUUGACAGUUCUUUAGCCAUCGAAAUGUUACAAGCACGUGGGGAAGCCAUUGCAAAGGUGACGUAAUGCGCAAGCGCGGCGGUCCACAGCCCCCUUGCUGCCUCAGAAUCCAUCAUUUUGAAUAAUUAUUGGCACGUGUUACGACCAAGCUUUUUUCUCUCGUUGAUUGCAGAAUGGAAGAGGUAGGACGUCCAGAUUUUCGUCAUCAAUUUUACUUAUUUACGAUAGUAAAUGGUGUUCGACACACAACAACGACUGGAUGUAGACGUGAUUUCUUUCGUUAUUGUUGACAUUACAUCGUGGCUAAUUUUCUUAAAAAUAAGCAAGACGAAUUUAGUUACAUUCAAACAGAAUUGACAUCUUGACAGUACGAACGCUACUUAAAUCGUGGAAGGAAGCGUUCCUUGAUCUAACAACCAGCUAAGGAAUCAUUAUUUUCGAUGAUAGAAAGAAAGAAGUAUGAAGUUCAAAAUUUUCGUCAUCAGUUUUACUUAUCUGUGAUAAGCAAUGGUAUUGGACACAGGACGACAACUGAUAAGCAAUAGGUAUAGGCAUUGCGAUUUCGUCCGUUAUUGUUAACAAUGCAUCGUGGCCCGUGUUCCUUGAAAUAAGCAUGGUGAAUUUAGUUACAGUCGAACAGAAUUGACAUCUGUUUACACAUUCAUUCUUCGAUUAAACAGUGUUCUGUUAACGAUACUUUUACAUCGGAGUAUAUUUUUCUUCCGAUUACAUUUUUCAUUUAAUAUACAUCGAGUAGCUGAUAAUUCAAAGUUUAUUCAAGUUGGAUAACGUUAUCGUAACUUCAUUCCUUUAAUCGAUGAAAAAAUCUAUGUAAGCGAACGCGUCUUAAAUAACACUAUUUCAACGAAUCAUAUGGUCUCUCUUGAAAUAUCGCUGCGAAAUAGAAACGAUAGGCUUUUUGUCGAUAGUAUACGACAGAACGAACACUGCUUAAAUCGAAAUAUAUGUGUUGAUUGGGUCGUGGAUUCCCGGAUAGCAGUUCCCAAGUAUCACGCUCGUUAGAGCAAGAUGGUUCUUUAUUCUCUUGUCUGAUGAGGAAUACUUAACAUUUUGAUAUUUUUAUUAUAACACUAUUUUUAUUAACUUUGUUAAUUUUUUUUUUUUUUUUUUUUCUUUUAGGAAGCCUAUGUUGCAAUUUCGUUCUACUGUUUGGAUACGGAUAAAAGAACAAUUCAACGCUCUAGUUGGAAAUGGUCUUUGUAAAAUUGCGACUCAUGGAAAGCCUCCUUCCUCUAGGAUCUAUCAUGAAUAUGAAGAUGAGAAAGGAAAGGAAAGGAGCCAGGAAGAUGCGAUGGAAGCAAUAACGAAGGAUGGAAUCUUGAAGAAUUUUCCAUUGGGUUAAAAUCAGCAGGAAAACAACGCUUCCUUCAUUUUACCGAACCGAAAGAAGACUCGCCUCUCCUUCGUGCGUAUUGCUUCUUUAAAUCUGCUUAAGCUCCAACGUUCUACGUAAUUCUCGGCGAUUUUGCGCACCCCUAAGCGUUUCUGCGUGACACCCUAAGCGAUCCUGCGAUACCCUAAGCGUUUCUGCGAUACCCUGAGCGUUUCUGCGAUACCCUGAGCGUUUCUGCGAUACCCUGAGCGUUUCUGCGAUACCCUGAGCGUUUCUGCGACACCCUCAGCGUUUCUGCGACACCCUGAGCGUUUCUGCGACACCCUCAGCGUACCUGCGCAAUCCCUAACGUCGUAUUCUGUUCAAUUCUCAGCGUUUUGCGUAACCACCAGCAUUUCAAACGAUUCCUUUGCUUUAGUCUUGCGCAUAAUUGCGAUGUUUUACGAAAAAUUACAAGACAGAAACAAAUUUGUUAGAAUCAUUGUUAUAAUAUUGUUGGAGUUUAUAGAGCGUUGAAAAAAAGAAACUUCAAUUGGAAGGUAGUACAUCAGUUGAUUUUUUCUUUCCGGAAUGUUAACAUAAAAUUGUUUUAUACUUCACAAGAUAUUACGUGCGGUGCAACGUUUAAGCGGUUGUAUUAUUGUUUAAAUCUUAUUUUAUAUCGACCAAUCGUAUAUUAUAGAUUCUUUAAAUAAUUGUAAAGUGAUAGAAAGCAUACAUAAAUUUGAUGCGUUAAGAGAAUUUUAGACCACCGUCGGUCGUAUCGAAAAUCGUCGUCCAGUAUUUAUCCGUAGCAACAAACAUCUUUUUAGACAAUUCUUAGGAUAUCGCGUGACCCCAGCUUCGCGAAUAAUUGAAAUGCUCAUAUACUAAAAAAGAAAAAAUAUUAUUUUUAUCAUUGUAAUAAGAAAGCGUCGAAAAAAAAGAAGCUUAAAUAGAAGGCAGUAUGUAAGCAGAUUUCUGUUCUGCGAAACGUUCGAUUAAAAUUAUUUUCUACGUACUACGUGCGGUAUAAAACUUGAGCGGCGGGGUUGUAUUUUGUAAAUAUUAGUUUGAUACUACCGAGCGUACAUAUGUAGCGUACAUUGCUUAAAUGAUUGUAAAACGACAAAAAAUAAAAAUGAUCUAGGUUUAGCGCGGUUCAACGCGGUCCAACGCGUGUACCGGAAAUUUUAGGGCAUGGUAGAGCGUUUCAACUACCGUGAAUCCAUUCGUGCGUAAUUAAGCGUGUUGCGUAAUUCCGAACAGAUUGGCGUAACCCUUAGAAAUAUUGCGUAAACCCCUAACCCUUAUUUAGGUAAAUUCUCUGGCUCUGCCAGACGCAACCCAGCGAUUUCGCCCACUACGUAGUUUGGUGUAAGUAUCCAUUUGGCAAGGUAUGGUUUUUUUUUUUACACGUAAGUCCUGUCGAUUUUUCGCAACGUCCAACGUGGACACCCAGAGUUUUGUCUUUUUCAGGUUAUCUGCAACCUCGGAGUUAUUUAUUUACCUACAUACUAUCGAGAUUACUGAAGCGAUGGUAUUUUUUUUUUGCAUAAUGUUAAGGGCAUUGCGUCGUUUUGAACGAAUGCGCGUAAUCAGCAGUUUUUUUUUUAUUUUUAUUUUUAUGAAGCCCACCGUAUCUAUAUAAUCCUUACAGAUUUUGUGUAAACCUUGGCGUGUAUUCAGCCGAACUUCUGUGGUCUAACUUCGGCGUAAUCCAGACGCGACCCAAUGAUUUGCAAUUUUGGCUUAUCCGACUGGCGAUUUGAAGUUAUCCGUAGUACCCAUCUUAUUUCCCUAGAUUCUAGAGAGGUUACUUAAACGACAACAUCGUUGCAUAAUCCCAGGGGCAUAUUCGUUAUUUCCUACGAAUCAAGUAACGACCAGCGUCUUCAUAAAGUGCAGCAUUUCUGUAUAUCCUCAUAGAUUUGUCGUCAAUCCUAGAACGUAUUUAGGUGGCCUCCGAGCGUCAGGCGUAACGUCAUAGUGUCCGCAUAAGCGAAUAAAUUUGUUUUUACCUAA